UGGGGGGAUAUUGCACAAUGGGGGAAACCCUGAUGCAGCAACGCCGCGUGAGGGAUGAAGGUUUUCGGAUUGUAAACCUCUGUCCUUAGUGAAGAAUUUUUGACGGUAACUAAGGAGGAAGCUCCGGCUAACUACGUGCCAGCAGCCGCGGUAAUACGUAGGGAGCAAGCGUUGUCCGGAUUUAUUGGGUGUAAAGGGUGCGUAGGCGGCUUUGUAAGUCAGACGUGUAAUGCAGGGGCUUAACCUCUGAACUGCGUUUGAAACUGCUUAGCUUGAGUGGAGUAGAGGCAGAUGGAAUUUCCAGUGUAGCGGUGAAAUGCGUAGAUAUUGGAAGGAACACCAGUGGCGAAGGCGAUCUGCUGGGCUCUAACUGACGCUGAGGCACGAAAGCAUGGGGAGCAAACAGGAUUAGAUACCCUGGUAGU
rnacentral:rRNA from 1 species